CCCUCUGCGACAGUUUCCCGAGGUACCUAGUGUCUGAGCGGCACAGACGAGAUCUCGAUCGAAGGCGAGAUGGCGGACGUGCUAGAUCUUCACGAGGCUGGGGGCGAAGAUUUCGCCAUGGAUGAGGAUGGGGACGAGAGCAUUCACAAACUGAAAGAAAAAGCGAAGAAACGGAAGGGUCGCGGCUUUGGCUCCGGUGAGUGUGGGGAAAAUGGGGUAGAGUGGCCUAGUAGGGCAGGAGCUACGGGUUUUGGAGUCCCCACCCAACUCAUAGGAACAAUGGGAGAAAGUGGGAGUUUUCGGUGAUCUCGUGUAUGUCCCUUAUAGAAGAGGGGUCCCGAGCGCGGAUGCGUGAGGAUUAUGACAGCGUGGAGCAGGAUGGCGAUGAACCCGGACCACAACGCUGUGAGUAAUAAUGGAACCUGUGAGGUGUCCGUGUCUGUGGUAGUAGUUAGAAACCAAUAAAGUAGUUAAACGCAGUAGGAAUGGGUUCAGAGAUAGCUUAAACAAUCUGAGUCCGCACUCACUCUAUUCCUGUGAGCCUGCUUAAAGUGUCUCUCAUGUACUCAUACAACUUCCCCCCCGUCCCCCAACAGCUGUUGAAGGCUGGAUUCUCUUUGUAACUGGAGUCCAUGAGGAAGCCACCGAAGAAGACAUACACGACAAAUUCGCAGAAUAUGGGGAAAUUAAAAACAUUCACCUCAACCUCGACAGGCGAACAGGAUAUCUGAAGGGGUAUACUCUAGUUGAAUAUGAAACAUACAA
rnacentral:sRNA from 1 species